UAUUCUUUCCUUUUGCCAGUGAAGGUUGGUGUGAGAAGAUGUCCACACAGUCAGCAGUCUUGCUCGGGAAUGGAAGGAAGCAGCAGAAGCUGGCAACAGGAAUGGGAUUGUGACGAGCUGAAUUCUAUGGACGUGUCGUUAGAUCCUCCUGAGCUUUUUGCUGUAAACAGAGCAAAGUGUUUGGACGUUUUAGCAAUUAUUUAGAAGAAAAUCAGUGACAGACUGGGACUGUUGUGACGGAAAGACAUGAGGGGAAUGGAGAGACAUUCAUGAAGCACAUGAAUGCAAAGCAGCAAGAAAAAAGAGAAAGAGACCUCUUGAUAAACUACAAGAAAGACCUUUUCACAAAUAGUUGGCAGAUUUUUGGUCUGGAAUUAUUUUAUUUGAUCAAUAA